AUUUUGGAUAAGGGAUACUCAACCUGUAUCUAUUCUUAUCAAUUUAAUAUCUGAUACACCCACUAUCUGGGGCCCAUAUAUUGAAUAGAAUAUUUAGAACAGAGAGAUGGAAGAAGAGCUUGCUCUGUCCACUCCACGCAUUGACCUGGCAUUGCAGUACCUCCAGGACCGGUGCACGGAAG